UCUCUGGGGUGUGACGUGUCUGCUAGAUCACACCUAUGACCAGUGAGCUGUGAGAACUCUGGUCUAGGGAGUCAUCUAGGCAAUAAAAAUUGUCAGCCAUAAAGUAUCAACGAUGGCUGGACUCUAGUCAGAGCAUCAUAUUUGUGGUUAUGUGCACUCAAGUUGAUUCCGACCUAGAUUACUUCUAUGCAAACACUACAAUGUAUUUGGAAAUGGAUUUAAACAAACUGGCCUCGCUGUACAGCACCAACAGAAACACCCCAGAAACCAAUAUCUACUGAUUACAAAUUGGAACCAAACCAGGAACUGCAGUAUCUGUGGCUAGACAACCUCUGGAAAAUGUAGUUUUUUUUCUUAUCCUAACCACUGAGUUGUGCUGAUGUGGAUUUUCAUGUCCAUUUGGAAUCAGUGCUGGACUGUGGCAGGGCACAGGAAAUGUAAAUGAAAGAGUGGAAAGUGAAAGCUCCCGUGGGAAUAGCGUGGUUUCUUUUGCCAGAAGAGUAAUUAUUUACCUUUUGGCCAUGUGUGUUUUGGCAUUCUUUAAAGUGCUUCAGCACGAAGGUUGUCCCAACAAGAGAGCUGCAGGUCUCAGAUCUGAGCCCUGCAUGGGAUAUGUUCUGAUUGGCAGCAAUGCAUUCUUUGACUUGAUUUUCUGAGCUCUCGCAAGGAACUGAUGAAUAGGUGCUACAGUCGUAAACUGAUGACAGCAUCCAACACAGACAUACACAAGAGGGGUGACAGUGCUCUUGAUGGAAUCGAAUAACAAAGUAAAUAGAAAUGGGACUGGUGCAUCAAGUCUUGGCUCCCAGUGGGCUAUGGCAUCAACAAUUCUAACUGAAACAACAAAUGAAAGGUACAGAAUGGUGAUGGCUGUGAUGGUGACAUCAAGUUUCUCAGAAUCUCUCAACUUUGCUUUUCUCUGCAUUCGUAUAAAAAGCGACAGAGUACAAAAUAUCAUGAUGGGAAAGAAAAUCAAGAUAUUGACAAAAAUUUUAAAAAUAAUUGCACCAUCACAAGAGGGGCCACUUUGAUGAUGAGAUACAAGGAAUCUCGGGAGGCAUGAAAUAUAUACCACAAGUGACACUAUGCAGGACAAGGCCCACAAAAUGACGGACACAAUUACUGACAUAUGCUUUGGUCGAUGAUGAUAGUAACAGACUGGCAUAAAGACCAUGAGGAACCUUUCAGUACUCAUAGCAGUAAAAAAAUAGAUACUAGCAUUGUAGCUUAUUAAAUAAAAAUUCUCCAUUACACGUGAAAAAUACAAAUCCACAUUAGUUGAUACCAAAAAUAAAAUGAAAACAGUAAGGUAGUAGAUGAUCACAAUAAGAUCCGCAAUGACCAAAUUGAUGACAUAAAUUGUGAACCUAGUUUUCUUUGUCUUGGUGCAGAGAAUCCAGAGGGUAAUUCCAUUCCCAAGGAAUCCCCAAAUGCAGAUUGGGAUAGAUACAAAGACAAUUGUUUCUAGGAAAUAGCUUUUCUUUGAUCCCAGGAAAUAGCCUUUCUUUGGCCAAGUUUCGAGUUGUGUGAAAUUUUUUUUAAUCAGAGCAGCAGUCUCAGAAAACAAAGCAGGUGAGUCUGUCAUCAUGACAAUGUCCAAUUGUUCUUCUCAAUCUGCCAAAAAUCAAACAUAAUGUGUUACUAUUAUAACAUCGUAUUGUGGAAUAGAGACAGAAAAUCCAAGACCACCUGUCAGGCAAAGACAUUUGUGCUGUAACAUCCCACUCUCAUAGCUGCUGCUUAGGAAAAAAUGACUUGGAAUUAAUUGUCUCUCUAGAUCAGUGGUUCUUAACUUGCGGGUCCCAGGUGUUUUGGCCUACAACUCCCAGAAAUCCCAGUCAGUUUACCAGCUGAUAGGAUUUCUGGGAGUUGACCAAAACAUCUGGGGACCCACAGUUUGAGAACCACUGCUCUAGAACAUAUGUGUUUUAGGGUUUUAGAACAGGAAUGGGAAGGCGAGGGUGCCAUAUUGGUCCCUUGGGAGACUGAGGGUUACACACUUAUAUCCAUGUAUGCUCUCCUUUAAAAAAAUAUCCGCAAAAUGACCACAAAUACUUUGUAGAAGGCAAGGGCACAACUUUCCAAAGUUAUCCCCCUUUGAGUUAUUUUAAGCCAUUUAAAAACCCAAGAGAAGCCCCACCUUUUAAAACAGGCUGUUAUCUUCUAUUCAUUUCCUCUUUCAAAAGAGGAUUAAAAUGACGCAUGGCUCCACAAAAGAUUGUGAACUCGGGAAUCAUUUUUCACAGUCAUAGUCUAACUAACACUCAAGUCAACUCAACUGUUUUAUGUUUUAUUGUAUUGUUGUUUGUAUUGGCAUUGAAUUUUUGCCAGACUAGUAAGCCGCCUUGAGUCCCUACGGGUGAGAAAGACGGGAUAGAAAUGAUGUAAAUAAAUAAAUAAUAAAUAAAUCACUAGACUUGACUCUAGUUAAUUCAGA